UUUAAUUGAAAUACUAUUGCAAUAAUCCAAAACAAAAUUUAUAUCAUGUUUUCAAAUCAAAACUAAAUAUUUAUUAAAACAUGAUCCAACUAUUGUGAUAAUUCUAAACAAAAUUUAUAUCAUGUUCACAAAUCAGAACUAAAUAUUAAUUAAAACAUCAUCCAAAAAAAAAAUACUAAGUAUAACCAAGUACAUAAUACAACCAAUUUAACAAAAUAAAAACAAAUACUACUCAAUAUGAUCACUACCAAUGUCCUCAUCCCCGCUAUCUUAAUCAGUUUCAUUGUUGGGUUGUGGUGAUGAACUUGGACGAGAAGAAGAUCCAACAAAUCCUAAAUGUUGCAUCAGAAAGGUUAAACUUUUGUUGGUCUCGACCAUCUCUUUUUCUGAGUUCCAGAAAGACGGUAUNNNNN
rnacentral:lncRNA from 1 species